CUUCGUGCUCUACUGCCGUCUGCUGUUUGGAAGAGCGAAAGAUCAAGAGGAUUUAACUUAUAAAGACUCUUAUAAAGACUUUUUACUCAAAACUAUACAAUAUUUUUAUGAUUUGACAACAUUUGUAUCAGCGCAAGCAGAUUGUGCUAUCCGGUUAUUGUACAACGUCCUGGUGCUACAUGAAGGAUCAGAUCGUGAAGAAAAAGAGGUUUGAAACAUGGACAACUGUGAUUUGGAGAAGCUCUCUGUGUCUGGUGGGAAGCUCCAUCCUCCCUUCAAACCAGAAGUGACAGAAUACAAAAUGACAGUGGAGAGCAGUGUCAACCAAGUGACUGUAGACCUGCUUACCAGUGACUGUGGGGCUUCUUAUAGUAUUCUGUUCGGCGACGGUUCCAGCACACUUAAACUGAGUGAUGGGUUGAACAGAGUGGAAGUCGAGGUGGUAGCUGAGGAUGGCACCAUAAAGAAAUACCGUGUGGAAAUCUCCAAGCUGUCUGCAAAGCUGGCAGAGCUCAGUCAUCUGACUGUGGGAGAAAAUAUCGCACUUCAUCCUGCAUUUUGUUCCAAAGUCUAUGAAUACAAUAGUACUGUUCCCUUUCACUGUAAUGCUGUGACCCUGCUUCCCAAGGUGCCUGACAAAAACAUAAAGGUCACAGUGAAUGAGGCAGACAGCUCACAACCAGUCUUUCUGAAUUUUGGAGACACUAUGGUGGAGAUCUCAGUCUAUUCAGCAGAUGGCAGUAAUUCACAGGUGUAUACGGUGCUGGUGACUCGAGAGCUAAUUCCAAUGGCCGUGACCUUUGCUGAUGGGAAGCAGCAGCUGGACUAUGAAUGUCCAGUGUCCCUGAGUGCUUUUUAUAGGCCUAUAUCUAUCAACCACAGUGAUCCGAUGCACAUCUUCUCAAGGCCGUAUAUUGAGAUGCUGGCACGAAGAUCGAAAGUCGACCCCCUUACCAAUAGUCCUCUUGGAGAAGGCUGGAAGGUCGUUGAACUAGAACUUGACCGAAAGAUGUCUGCUGCUUUGGUCAAGUGCUUCUUUAUUUACAGAGGAUGUGACAGUGUGAUGAAACUGUCUGAGCUGGGGUCACACUGUCUGGACUGUCCAUACAAGCCUACAGGGGACCUGGAUGCAAAAGAUGUCACAGAGACAGACUGGUAUAAGAAGCACUUUGCAGCAUCCAGUUGUUUGGAGAUAGAGACUAAACACAGUUUGGAGGUGCAGAACUGGGAGGAAAGGCUUCAAACGACAGCAGGAGAAGAUAAUGUUGACAAACUGUGUGCCUUGGCUCAGGAUCACCUGAACCUCUACCGACAGCGGCUGCCAAAACCAGGGGAUGUGUUACAAUAUGAGGAAACUCAGUCUCCUCUGCAUAGCCUGGAGCAGGCCACUGUCCACUAUGCGUCAGCUAUCAGGCUCAGCUCCGGAGAUGCCAGACUCCACUUCCUGCUUGGUCUUGUUCUGGAGGAGCAGCACUAUGCUACAGAGAUAUAUGGCCUCCAGAGGAAGGUUGACAGGGACAGAGAUGAAUUAAGUGAUGCUAAAUCAACAGCACGUCAGGAUGACAUCCUGGCUGUGUGUAAACUCCAUGGGUUCCUUGGCACGCCCACAGUGGAGAACCAGCUGCGGGCACUGGAUAAAGAGUAUCAGCAACUCAAAGAGCAGGGACAGUCCAGCAGAGCAGACUAUGUUCAAACACUCUACAUCUGGCUCUCCAAGAAAACUGGCAAGGAUAACAGUUCAGCUGUGCGGGAUGAGGAGAGCUGUGUCCACCGAGCUCUGAUGAAAUACCUGGACGCCUGGUCCCUGAGUCCAAACAACUGGGAGUACAACCUCCAUGUAGGAAGGCUGCUGCUGCUGCAGGGCAGGAGCAGGGAAGCCCUGCAGCACCUGCAGAGUGGCCUGGCACAGCACCCCCUACAUCCUGCACUAAGAUUUUUCACGGGGCUGGCUCUGCUGCAGCAGGAGCAGAAAGCCUCUGCGGCCACAGAGAAGGAGGCUGCUCUGUUCUUACAACAAGGACUGGAGCACUUUGUCAGUCAGCGCUGCAGCAUGAGCUGGGUGGAGCAGGAGCCAUCAGACCCUCUGUCCAGCCUAAGCACCCAGUUCCUGCGAGGCCUUCUCACUCUGGGGCAGCUGCAGGAGAGAAAUGUACUGUCUGGGAAUGCCAUGAAUGCUGAGCAGGUCUAUCACACCAUAUCAGUACUAACUGCCCAGAGUGUGAGUCAGUGUGUGUGUCGUGGCGAGGUGUGCGGGCAGCUGGAGUGGGUGCUGCUGGAUGCUCACUUUGCACUGCUGCAGAGGAUAAUCCAACACCGUGAGCUCCAGGUCAACGCUGGCAUUGAGAAGCAGUUCUUGGUGGCAAAAAGAUGCCAGGCCCUCACAGCUCUCAUUAGUCUCACCUCGAUCAAACCCUGUCAGGAGCUACUGGACAUGCAGGAGAGGGCAUGCCAGCUUGCAGUAGUGACCACGCCACAGGACAGCCAUGCCCUGUGUCUCUUGGGUCUGGCACAGUUGGCUCAAUAUGACAACAACCCAAAUUCAGACAGGUCAGCGGAAGCCAUAACUGAUGCCUGCCUCAGCUUCCAGGCCAGCAUUGGGCUGGAAAACAAGACUCAAAGCAGAGAGCCACCUGAGCAGUUAAGCAGACAGAAGUGGUGGCAUAAGUGGCAGGAGGCUGAAAAGGAGAAAGCUGCCAAGCAGUCCAUCACCCAAUCCACUGCGGUUAAGAGCCCUUCGGACAGCUUUGUGGUCAAGAGAGGAGCUGGGCGAGGAAGGGGAGGGCUUGGUCGAGGGUGGGUGGCAGCAGCUGUAACCAAAGCACCCCCUCCUCCACCUUCAGCUCCGGUCAGGGGAGGCAAAGGUGCUCGGCCUCCAGCUAAACCCUCAGCAACCAGGGGGAGAUCUGGAGCAGCAGCUAAACCAGACAGUUCAGCUAAACCUGUCAACAGUGAUACUAAACUCCAGCUCCCCGCCAACAGGUCUAAACAGGACAGUUGCCUGGAUACUGUUGAGACAGCAGAGGAACCUGCUGUGGCAGAUAGAGUCAGCACGUCCAGUGCAGUGAACCACAUGUCUCAUAUCUCACGGCUGGGUCUGGCCCGUGCCCUUUCCCGCUCUGCAGACACCCAGGACCAGGCAAAACAACUCUAUGAAGAGGUCAUCUCCAUGGCACCAGGGGUUCACGAUGCCUACACUGAGCUUGCACAGUUGCUGGAGCCAACAGCUCCUCAGACUGCAGUGGAGGUGUUACUGCAGAUUCCCUCUGAAGCCUGUGGCAGAGCAGAGCUUCGAUGA
ensembl:lncRNA